CACGUAGGGUCCGAGCGUUGUCCGGAGUUACUGGGCGUAAAGCGCGCGCAGGCGGUCGCGCACAUCGGCGGUGAAAGCCCCCCGCUCAACGGGGGGAGGGUCCGUCGAGAUGGCGCGACUGGAGGCAGGGAGAGGGCGGUGGAAUUCCGGGUGUAGUGGUGAAAUGCGUAGAGAUCCGGAGGAACACCAGUGGCGAAGGCGGCCGCCUGGACCUGGACCUGACGCUGAGGCGCGAAGGCGCGGGGAGCGAACGGGGAUUAAGAUGACCCCGAGUAGUACC
rnacentral:rRNA from 1 species